rnacentral:lncRNA from 1 species
CGGCCGCUGUUUGCGUCGUAGCCUCGGUCAGGCAAGUAACACAAACCGGUCCUUCUCAGGACCACA